rnacentral:rRNA from 1 species
UACGGAGGGGGGCUAGCGUUGUUCAGAAUUACUGGGCGUAAAGCGCGCGUAGGCGGACCUGCAAGUCGGGGGUGAAAGCCCGAGGCUCAACCUCGGAACUGCCUUCGAUACUGCGGGUCUCGAGUCCGGGAGAGGUGAGUGGAAUUCCUAGUGUAGAGGUGAAAUUCGUAGAUAUUAGGAAGAACACCAGUGGCGAAGGCGGCUCACUGGCCCGAUACUGACGCUGAGGCACGAAAGCGUGGGGAGCAAACAGG